GGAAUUUUGGACAUGGGGGCAACCCUGAUCCAGCCAUUCCGCGUGAGUGAAGAAGGCCUUCGGGUUGUAAAGCUCUUUCAGCAGGAACGAAACGGUGGCCCCUAAUACGGGCUACUAAUGACGGUACCUGAAGAAGAAGCACCGGCUAACUACGUGCCAGCAGCCGCGGUAAUACGUAGGGUGCGAGCGUUAAUCGGAAUUACUGGGCGUAAAGCGUGCGCAGGCGGUUCCAUAAGACAGAUGUGAAAUCCCCGGGCUUAACCUGGGACCUGCAUUUGUGACUGUAUAGCUAGAGUACGGUAGAGGGGGAUGGAAUUCCGCGUGUAGCAGUGAAAUGCGUAGAGAUGUGGAGGAACACCGAUGGCGAAGGCAGCCCCCUGGGUCAACACUGACGCUCAUGCACGAAAGCGUGGGGAGCAAACAGGAUUAGAUACCCUGGUAGUCCACGCCCUAAACGAUGCGAACUAGGUGUUGGGGAAGGAGACUUUCUUAGUACCGCAGCUAACGCGUGAAGUUCGCCGCCUGGGGAGUACCGNCGCAAGAUUAAAACUCAAAGGAAUUGACGGGGACCCGCACAAGCGGUGGAUGAUGUGGAUUAAUUCGAUGCAACGCGAAAAACCUUACCUACCCUUGACAUGUAGGAAGUCUGUGAGAG
rnacentral:rRNA from 1 species